CACUCUGGAAAGCAGGCACCGGUUCGCUGAUGCCUCACCGAAGGUGAAAGCUGGACUGUCCAGUCCGGUCAACCUCUCAGGUUCGAAGACAGAGCGGGG
rnacentral:ncRNA from 1 species